rnacentral:rRNA from 1 species
AAACGCCAUCAGUGGAUCACUUGGUUUCUACGUCGAGGAAGAACGCAGCUAAGUGCGAUAAGCAGGGGGCAUUGCAUAUUCCCUGGUGUUCGAAUGGUGCAAAUCAAGGCGAGUGUUUACAGGAUUGUAGACGAAAGCGAUCAUUGAAGAAGGACAGGCACCGAGGCGACCCGCUGGACUUAAGCAUAUCAGUAAGCGGAGGAAAGGAAAUCAACAGAGACGCCCUCAGUAGCGGCGAGCGAAGAGGGCCGAGCCCGAUUGGAAAUCUCAUUUGAAAUCUCAUUUGAGAAGUUGUAAGAGCGCAAGACACGGGCCGAAGAUGCUGGAAGGCGUCGCCGCAGAGGGUGAGAGUCCCGUAGGGGCGUGUCUGCUUGUGGGAGAGUAGUGCUUCCUGGAACGGAAGUGCGAAGGGGUGAGCGAGACAUCCAAGGCUAAGUAGGGGUAGAGGACCGAUAGCGCAGAAGUACCGUGAGGGAAAGUUGACAAGAACCUCGAGAGGGGAGUGAAAAGAUGUGAAACUGGUGGCGGGGAAUGGCUGGCGCUUUUGCGGGCGUGAGCCGCCCGUCUUGUAACACGGACCAAGGAGAGUUCCAGGGCAUCGAGUCUUUUGGGGCGGAAUAGCGAUAGAUGGGAGAUGUUUUGGGACGACCCGAAAGACGGUGAUCUAUUCCGGGACAGGGUGAAGCCGGAGGAAACGCUGGUGGAGGCCCGAAGACGUUCUAAUGUGCAAAUUGAUGUUUUGAUUUUGGAAUAGGGGCGAAAGACCAAUCGAACCGUCUGGUAGCUGGUUCCAGCCGAAAUGUCUCGCAGGAUAGCGGCGCGGGGGUCUGGCGUGUGCUGUAGAGGACUGAUGGCAGAGAGCGGGGGCAACCUUGUGCUGGCGUCAAACUGCGAAAGCGCACGCAGUUCCGUGUUAGUGGGCCGGGGCUGGUAAGCAGCCAUGGCGAUGCGGAUUGAACCGAGAAGGGGGCUAAGGGGCCAAAGCAACAGACAUGAAGGCGUGGCGCGCAUUGAGACAGCAGGGAGAUGGCCAUGGAGGUUGGCAGUCUGUAAGGAGUGUGUCACAACCCACCUGCCGAAUGCGGAGCCGGCCGAAAAUGGAAGGCACGGGUUGCAGCCGAUGCCCCCUUUUUUGAGGAGUGGAUGUGAUGGAUGGUGCUUUGGGGGUAUUUCUAGAAGGACCCUUGUGGGAGUUUGUAGUGGUAGCCUUUGAGUGUUGUGCAGCAUCGACGGCUUGAAAAGGUAGGCUGGCGUGUUCUUGUGGGAGAAGGGCUGCGGCGAUGCAGGCUGGACAUUAGAGCAGUGCAGAUCUUGGAGGGAGUAGCAAGGAGUCACAUGAGGACACAUGAGCAGGGUUCCGCGGAGCUGAGAGACAGCCGUGGGUGAUGCGUUCCUAAGCAUAUCGCGAAGGGAAGCGGGGCGAUGUUCCCGCGGGGUUCUAUGAUGUGGCAACACAUGGCGCGGCCUGAGCAGUGGACGAACCGGUUGCGGAGAGCGGAGCCGCAAGACUUAAGAAAAGUUUGAGCGUUGGGCUGAGAGAACGUUUUUUUGGGUAAGUUGCUGUCUUGAAAAGGGGCGAGCCGGGGGUAGAAACAGCGUACCGAAACCGCAACAGGGCUCAAGGGAUCGGACCGGUGUUUGCGGAGAAUGUGUGUAAGGGAAGUCGGCAAGCUGGGCCUGUAACUUUGGGAGAAGGGGUGGCUCGGACCAUUUUUGGACACGAACUGUCGAGGCGGGGAAUCCGACUGUUUAAUAGAAACAUAGCGUUGCGAGAGUGUGCUAAAGUGAUGCGACGUGAGUUCUGCCCAGUGCUCGGCCGGUCAAGACGGCGAGGGCCGUGGACGCACGGGUAAACGGCGGGAGUAACUAUGACUCUCUUAAGGUAGCCAAAUGCCUCGUCAUCUAAUUAGUGACGUGCAUGAAUGGAUCAGCGAGAUUCCCACUGUCCCUAUGCACAGCGCGGCGAAACCACAGCCAAGGGAACGGGCUUGGCGAUGCCAGCGGGGAAAGAAGACCCUGUUGAGCUUGACUCCAGCGUGCCCUGCUGGACGUGGGCCUCGGACUAGCAAGCAGGCAGUGCUUGGCACGCAAGUGUUUUGCACGAGCAUGGAAAACCUGCACGGGGCCUGACGUGCGGCUGACCUUUUGGGAAGCGGGGAUGUGGGGAGUUUGGCUGGGGCGGCACGGCUGCGAAACGAUAGCGCAGGCGUCCUAAGGUUGUCUCCGCGUGGGGCGAAACCACGUUUUGAGCACAAGGACACAAGACAGCCUGACGAUGCCGUGGCGGCGUCGAUGCGAAAGCAGGGCCUAGAGAUCCUUCGCGGCAGCUUUUGUGUGCGGAGGUGACGGAAAAGUUACCACAGGGAUAACUGGCUUGUGGCGGCCAAGCGUCCAUAGCGACGCCGCCUUUUGAUUCUUCGAUGUCGGCUCUUCCUAUCAUUGCGUUGCAGCGGGCGCAAAGUGUUGGAUUGUUCACCCACUAACAGGGAACGUGAGCUGGGUUUAGACCGUCGUGAGACAGGUUAGUCUUACCCUACUGGCGUGCGCCGACGGCAGGGUGGCAUAGUACGAGAGGAACGGCCAGCCGCUGCCGCUGGUUGGGCGUCUGUGCCGCAGUGCAGAUGCGCAGCUACGCAGGACGGAGAAGCACUGGUAGCGUCUAAGUGCGGAGACGUGCCGGCGGCGCCGACGUGCAAGCAUGCGACUUGCCACAACCCUGGUGUACGGMGCAAGCUGUGCGAGCUCCUGAGCCAAGGGCCUUUCACACCCCUUAUCAUUUUAUUUUUCCAGCGUUUUUACUGGCGUCGCUCACUGCGUUCACUCUGGUACCUGGCUUG